UACAGAGGUCCCAAGCGUUGUUCGGAUUCAUUGGGCGUAAAGGGUGCGUAGGCGGUGAAGUAAGUUGGAUGUGAAAUCUUGGGGCUUAACCUCAAAAUUGCAUUCAAUACUGCUUCGCUCGAGUUCUGUAGAGGAGAUUGGAAUUUACGGUGUAGCAGUGAAAUGCGUAGAUAUCGUAAGGAACGCCAGUGGCGAAAGCGAAUCUCUGGGCAGCAACUGACGCUGAGGCACGAAGGCCAGGGGAGCAAACGGG
rnacentral:rRNA from 1 species